GGCUGUAGCUCAGUGGCAGAGCACUUGCCUAGCACGUGUGAGGCACUGGGUUAGAUCCUCAGCACCA
rnacentral:tRNA from 1 species